CCUACGGGUGGCAGCAGUCGAGAAUCAUUCACAAUGGGGGAAACCCUGAUGGUGCGACGCCGCGUGGGGGAAUGAAGGUCUUCGGAUUGUAAACCCCUGUCAUGUGGGAGCAAAUUAAAAAGAUAGUACCACAAGAGGAAGAGACGACUAAAUCUGUGCCAGCAGGCGCGGUAAUUCAGAGGUGUCAAGCGUUGUUCGGAAUCACUGGGCGUAACGCGUGCGUAGGGUGUUUCGUAAGUCGUGUGUGAAAGGCGCGGGCUAAAACCGCGGAGGGCACAUGAUACUGCGAGACUAGAGUAAUGGAGGGGGAACCGGAAUUCUCGGUGUAGCAGUGAAAUGCGUAGAUAUCGGGAAGAACACUCGUGGCGAAGGCAGGUUCCUGGACAUUAACUGACGCUGAGGCACGAAGGCCAGGGGAGCGAAAGGGAUUAGAUACCCCUGUAGUC
rnacentral:rRNA from 1 species